rnacentral:rRNA from 1 species
GAAUUGCCUGGUAGUGGGGGACAUCGUUUCGAAAGGAACGCUAAUACCGCAUACGUCCUACGGGAGAAAGCAGGGGACCUUCGGGCCUUGCGCUAUCAGAUGAGCCUAGGUCGGAUUAGCUAGUUGGUGAGGUAAUGGCUCACCAAGGCGACGAUCCGUAACUGGUCUGAGAGGAUGAUCAGUCACACUGGAACUGAGACACGGUCCAGACUCCUACGGGAGGCAGCAGUGGGGAAUAUUGGACAAUGGGCGAAAGCCUGAUCCAGCCAUGCCGCGUGUGUGAAGAAGGUCUUCGGAUUGUAAAGCACUUUAAGGUGGGAGGAAGGGCAGUAAGCUAAUACCUUGCUGUUUUGACGUUACCGCCAGAAUAAGCACCGGCUAACUCUGUGCCAGCAGCCGCGGUAAUACAGAGGGUGCAAGCGUUAAUCGGAAUUACUGGGCGUAAAGCGCGCGUAGGUGGUUUGUUAAGUUGGAUGUGAAAUCCCCGGGCUCAACCUGGGAACUGCAUCCAAAACUGGCAAGCUAGAGUAUGGUAGAGGGUAGUGGAAUUUCCUGUGUAGCGGUGAAAUGCGUAGAUAUAGGAAGGAACACCAGUGGCGAAGGCGACUACCUGGACUGAUACUGACACUGAGGUGCGAAAGCGUGGGGAGCAAACAGGAUUAGAUACCCUGGUAGUCCACGCCGUAAACGAUGUCAACUAGCCGUUGGGGACCUUGAGUCUUUAGUGGCGCAGCUAACGCAUUAAGUUGACCGCCUGGGGAGUACGGCCGCAAGGUUA